AUACAUAUUAGUAUUUAAAAGAAACUAAUACCAUGGCAUGAAUACUUUUUCAUUGGAAGCAUUUUUAACCCUGGAGAUCAAUAUGGGGGGUUCUAUUCUGUUGGUUCCUUCCUGACAAUAAACAUACUCUACUUUUUUAUUAAUUCAUUUUUUUUUUCUCUUAUGUAUAUUUUAUAAGACAAACAUUUUGGUCUUGAUGGAACACAUAGUGAGGCCACCCGAUAUGGAAACCACAACACAUGGAUGUUCUUCUUAACCUCACAUUGUUUCUUAAACAAUGGCCAAGGCUGUUCCCUUUCAUACAAGUUCAGAGUUUAAUUUUGUUGAUGACUUAUCUCUGCCAACAAGCCGAAGUUGUGGAAUUCCAAGCGUUGGCAAACUGACUCUUCAUGAAAGAUCCAACAGUGAUUCUAACCUUGCUCUUUGGAGUCCUGAGACUCGAUCAAGUCUUACAUUGGAUAAAGAGGAAUUUACCUUGGGUUCUGACAGUCAAGUUAUAGUGGAAUGGGACAUCAAGGAGGAUGUCACAGCAAAUGAUUGGAUUGCAUUAUUUCCUGCAGGGAUGGUUGAUGCUUUUCUCUAGCCAUUUAUAUGAUAAAGGCCUACAAAAUACUCUAGACACAAUCUGGAAAACCCAAUGCAAUUCGCCUAUGUCCACAUUGGCACAUUCAAGAAAUCAGCUAACUGGAAGCAACUGAGCAGAUAUCAUCAGAAAAAGGUACUUAAAAUUCAUCAAAAUCAUAGAUCUGUCAGUCUUUCAAAGCGGUCAAAUUGUUAGUGUUUAUAUACCAGGUACUAGCGUAACGAAAACAGCCAAAAUGUUUGGUGUAUCAAGAAGUACUGUCUUGAAAGUAAUGACAGCUUUUGAGAAAGCGGGAAAAAAACCUCCUCAUUGAAACAAAACUUUCAGAUAGGGUCCAUCAGACUCUUACACGAAUUAUUAGAAAGGAUCGCAAAAGUACAGCUCAAAAAUUACUGCAGAGCUUCAUGAUCACCCCGAGAACCCAGUUUCCACAAAAACUGUUUGCCAGGAGCUGCACAAAGCCGGAUUUCACGGGA